rnacentral:rRNA from 1 species
GAUGAACGCUGGCGGCGUGCCUAAUACAUGCAAGUCGAGCGAACGGACUAGAAGCUUGCUUUUCUGAUGUUAGCGGCGGACGGGUGAGUAACACGUGGAUAACCUACCUAUAAGACUGGGAUAACUUCGGGAAACCGGAGCUAAUACCGGAUAAUAUUUUGAACCGCAUGGUUCAAAAGUGAAAGACGGUCUUGCUGUCACUUAUAGAUGGAUCCGCGCUGCAUUAGCUAGUUGGUAAGGUAACGGCUUACCAAGGCAACGAUGCAUAGCCGACCUGAGAGGGUGAUCGGCCACACUGGAACUGAGACACGGUCCAGACUCCUACGGGAGGCAGCAGUAGGGAAUCUUCCGCAAUGGGCGAAAGCCUGACGGAGCAACGCCGCGUGAGUGAUGAAGGUCUUCGGAUCGUAAAACUCUGUUAUUAGGGAAGAACAUAUGUGUAAGUAACUAUGCACAUCUUGACGGUACCUAAUCAGAAAGCCACGGCUAACUACGUG